rnacentral:rRNA from 1 species
AAAGGCGCGCGAUACAGGGUGACAGCCCCGUACACAAAAGCGCAUGUGCUGUGAGCUCGAUGAGUAGGGCGGGACACGUGGUAUCCUGUCUGAAUAUGGGGGGACCAUCCUCCAAGGCUAAAUACUCCUGACUGACCGAUAGUGAACCAGUACCGUGAGGGAAAGGCGAAAAGAACCCCGGCGAGGGGAGUGAAAAAGAACCUGAAACCGUGUACGUACAAGCAGUGGGAGCACAGGUUUACCUGUGUGACUGCGUACCUUUUGUAUAAUGGGUCAGCGACUUAUAUUCUGUAGCAAGGUUAACCGAAUAG